UAACACAUGCAAGUCGAGCGGGACAUGCGACGGACGUUGAAGACUCGGUUGAAUAUGAAGAUGUAAUGUCUAGCCGGCGGACGGGUGAGUAACGCGUGAGCAACCUGUCCCUUACAGGGGGAUAACACAGCGAAAGUUGUACUAAUACCGCAUAAGACCACAGAGUGACAUCGCUUAGGGGUCAAAAGGAGCAAUCCGGUAAGGGGUGGGCUCGCGUCCGAUUAGAUAGUUGGUGAGGUAACGGCCCACCAAGUCGACGAUCGGUAGCCGACCUGAGAGGGUGAUCGGCCACAUUGGGACUGAGACACGGCCCAAACUCCUACGGGAGGCAGCAGUGGGGAAUAUUGGGCAAUGGGGGAAACCCUGACCCAGCAACGCCGCGUGAGGGAAGAAGGUUUUCGGAUCGUAAACCUCUGUCCUUGGUGAAGAGGAAGAGACGGUAGCCAAGGAGGGAGCCCCGGCUAACUACGUGCCAGCAGCAGC
rnacentral:rRNA from 1 species